GGGGGCAAAGCAGUGUAUACUGGAAGGUGCCUGUAUCGGGAAGUCGGACCUGGGUUUAUUGACCUUGAAACAUGAUCACAUCUUUUGGGUCUCCAUCAUUUCUCUUACUAUACAAACCUCAACAGACCUAAGUUUGAAUCAUGGCUCCUUUUUUUUGAUCCUCAGGCAGAUGACUAAACUUCUGAGCCCUGGGGUGGGGGCUCUAGGUCUAAAUGAAUACUGGGUCAUGGGCCUGGUUUGCUAUCUCAAUUAGGUGCCUGUUGAAGAGCUCAUUAUGUCUUGGAUGAGAUGGGUUUUGCACUUAAAAAUAUUUGUAAAUACAUUGUCCUGGGAUUUUUUGUCUUCCUGAGGGGUCAGCAGCCUUAGUUGAUGUGGGCUGUGGUCUCAACAGGCUGCGUUGCUGAUGGCAGCCACCCUGGACGUAUGGGGUGCUCUGCCCCAGCCAGCCGUGAGGAGGGGCUUGUCUGUAGGACGAAGUGCCAAGGCCAAGGCUCUCCCCAUCAGCUUGCCUGCGCUCCAGCAAGGGCUGGGGAGGGUGUGUUGGUUCAUGCAGUGGAAGAAGAUAGCUUUUCAAUUUUUUGAGAAAUUUUAAUUCACAUUUUAAGAGUAACACUGUGUAACCAGACUUUUGCCAUGCUACUGAAUGAAUUCACCUAUUUUGGCUCAUUGUCCCUCAGAAACACCCUGAGAGUUCACUGCAAAUGUAAGCUGUGGCCAUAAAAGUGACCAAUGAGCCCAACGUCCCACGACUCGCUGGUGACCCACACUGCAGCCCCAAGUCUUUGGCCCUCCUGAGAUGCGUCUCCUAACACCAGGCUGCUUGUGCUCAGCUAGGAGAUCAAACCGAGCAGCAACCAACACCCAGCACACGCUGACUGAGCCCUUGCAGUGUGGGGGUCACUGAGGGUAGAGACGGUCAGAUGAUAUCUUGCCAGCAGGAAGGUAGAGAUAUGGGCACCAUCAGAACUGGCUCGCUGAGGUUUUUCAGAAAGAAGCCUAGCUCCUGGAAGCUGUUAAAUGACACCCUUGCCCCUUUGGUGUGACUUCCCAUUAUGAGUGGAUUUGACAUAAGACUGAAUGGAAUUUGAUAUAUGAGACUGGGAUUUGCCCAGAGGAUUGUUCCACAGACAACUUAAAUUUCCCUUGAGAUAAAAUGCUCUCUGGUGCUGCAUUUCUACCCAGUUUUAGCAGUUCCUUAAUGCAGUGUUUCUCAGAGUUAAACUUUUUCAUCUCAGGACCUCUUUACAUAAGACCUUUUGUGUAGGUAGGGUGUAUCAAAAACUAGAAACUGAAAAUAAUUCAUUAAAAAAAAAAAGAGUAAGAAACUAUUACAUGUUAAGAUACAUAUAAUUUCAUGAAAAGUAACUUUUCCAAAACAAAAAAAUAAAAGUAGCAUUGUUUUACACGUUCACAGAUCUCAGUAUAAGUCAUCUGGACUGAUAGCUGCUUUUGCUUUCAAUCUCUUGAUACAUUUCAGAUAUGAAGUAUUUGAAAAAAAAAAAAAAGAUUUGGCAUCACAGUGUGCUGUGGCAUGCGUUUGAUUCCUGGAACUUUUAUGCUGUGACUGCAGGCAUGCACCCUCUCCCCACCUCCUGAAGAGCUGAGGUUUAGAAAGCUCUCCUAGGAGUUCCUGUCGUGGCUCAGCAGAAAUGAACCUGACUAGUAUCCAUGAGGAUGCAGGUUUGAUCCCUGGCCUCACUCAGUGGGCUAAGGAUCCAGGGUGGGUUGCCGUGAGCUGUGGUGUAGGUAGUUUGCAGAUGCGGCUCAGAUCCUGUGUUGCUGGUACUGCUACAGCUCCAAUUCAGCCCCUAGUCCGGGAACUUCCAUAUGCUGUGGCUGAAACACACACACACACACACAAAGAAAGCUCUUCUAAUUCAGGAAUUGAGUGAUAUUUGGGGUUAAACACCCAUAACAGAGGUCCUCUUCCUCAGUGCACUCCAGAACUUAAAAAAUAACUGCUAUGGAAGCAGUGAGAUAGAGGUGAUGGGUGGGAGAGUAAAGGUAAAGCAGUGAAUAACCCACUCUGCUUAGAGCAUCCGCAGAGCAGAGUUCUCCAUCCCUAGACCUUUGCAAGUGGAGGGGACAUCAGAUGGGGUUUUGGUGGCAGGGAAGCUGGGUGGAGCCGAGACUCCCUCCGCUCUAUUUAUGUGUGAUUACUGCAUGCAUUGGCCUCUGUGCCGGUCAGCUGAACCUGCAUGUUGACUCACUGAUCUGAGUGGCUAAGAAUGACAGCUACCUGGCCCUGUGCACCGUCCUCCCAGCAAGCUUGGAGAAACAACCUGAGAACUAGCUGGUGAACACUGUUUUCUAGUUCAAGGAGUUGACAUUAAGUGGUCUCUAGCUUAAUCAACGUUAAGAUGUCCCAGCUUACUAAUUUAGCCUGCUGGUUUGAAGUUUCCAGUUCUGGUACGGAUAGGAUAAAUGUGGUUGGAUCUGCAUGGACACAAGCCCUACUUCCAAUUAACCAGAUACCUGUGGUCCGGGAGGAGUUGGGGUGAGAGUGGCUGGGUAACACUGAGUCCUCAGCAGCAGCUCACGGGAUUUUGAUGUUUUAUCUUCAUGCUGAGUCCACACCGGGCUCAAUAUUUUUAAAGGAUUGUAAAAGGGGAAAAGUGCAAGAAGACAGUAUAUUUAUCGAUCAUGAAAUUUAAAAUACCAUCUGGCAAGUAGUCUGGCAACACCAGGUAAGAGUAACCAUAAACCUGCCCUUCCUAGAGGUAACCAGUCACUCUCUUCUGUGCUUCCUCAUCUGGCUCAGUUGAAGACAAUAGCCUUGAUUCUGGUUUUGAGACAGAAGGAUUUUUGCUGCUUUUGAGCACUAAGUCGUAUAAGGCUUUGCUUUGUGAUUUUUUGAUGUAGAUAUUCAAAUUAGUGUUAACAAUAUUUGCCUCUUGAGUUAGACUUAACCCUGUUUCAAGGGUAGCUAGGUGGUAUCAGGAGAUUUACCCCCAAGUUUUUCUUUGCUGUGCCUGUGGCAUAUGGAAGUUGCUGAGCCACUGGAGUGACAACCCUUAACCAGAUCUUUAACCCCUGUACCACAAGGGAAACUCCACACCCCUAACUUAGAGAAAUUUCAAACACAAAAGUUGAAAAGAAUGGUACAGUGAUAACCUAAUAUGUUAUUUAUCUCUCUCUCUGUCUUGUGGAUCCUUGAAAGUAAGGACAUUUUACUCCCUAUGUUCAUACUUCUAAAAACAAGAUUAUAGCAAUCACAUUGUCAUCACACCUAAGAUCACAAUAAUUUCUUAAUAGCCUAUACUCAGAUUUCCUCAAAUUGUGCCCAGAAUGCUUUUGAU
rnacentral:lncRNA from 1 species